AAUCCGGUGGUGAAAAUGCUAUCACACCUGUUUCUCAUGGGAAACAUUGACCACUCAAGCGGGAGUCCCUUGUUCGAAGCAAGGCCGGGUCA